rnacentral:lncRNA from 1 species
GUCUACCGCUGGCAGCAGCGUGAGACGGAGGCAGACACGGAACUGCAGCCCCUCGCCCACGGGGAUGACAUGAUCCAGGCUGGGAGUCGAACUCGACGUUCUCAUCCUAGACGGUCACCAGAUCCUGGUACCCAAACCUGGGACAGGACGACUCCUCCAGGUCCUGCCAGAAUCGAGCACGUGAGAAGCAGGAGCAGAGCAGGGACACCCUUCCCGCAGCGACCUCCCUGA